rnacentral:rRNA from 1 species
GGCCUGGCUGGACGGUCCGCCCUUCGGGUGAGUACUGUCUGUGGUCGGGUCCUACCUUCUGGCGAAGCGUCAUGGCCUUAACCGGCCGUGGCGGGGAACCAGGACUUUUACUGUGAAAAAAUUAGAGUGUUUAAAGCAGGCAUUUUGCUUGAAUACAUUAGCAUGGAAUAAUAAAAUAGG